CAAGGUUAACCGAAUAGGGGAGCCGGAGGGAAACCGAGUCUUAAUUGGGCGUUAAGUUGCAGGGUAUAGACCCGAAACCCGGUGAUCUAGCCAUGGGCAGGUUGAAGGUUGGGUAACACUAACUGGAGGACCGAACCGACUAAUGUUGAAAAAUUAGCGGAUGACCUGUGGCUGGGGGUGAAAGGCCAAUCAAACCGGGAGAUAGCUGGUUCUCCCCGAAAGCUAUUUAGGUAGCGCCUCGUGAAUUCAUCUCCGGGGGUAGAGCACUGUUUCGGCUAGGGGGCCAUCCCGGCUUACCAACCCGAUGCAAACUGCGAAUACCGGAGAAUGUUAUCACGGGAGACACACGGCGGGUGCUAACGUCCGUCGUGAAGAGGGAAACAACCCAGACCGCCAGCUAAGGUCCCAAAGUCAUGGUUAAGUGGGAAACGAUGUGGGAAGGCCCAGACAGCCAGGAUGUUGGCUUAGAAGCAGCCAUCAUUUAAAGAAAGCGUAAUAGCUCACUGGUCGAGUCGGCCUGCGCGGAAGAUGUAACGGGGCUAAACCAUGCACCGAAGCUGCGGCAGCGACGCUGAUGCGUUGUUGGGUAGGGGAGCGUUCUGUAAGCCUGCGAAGGUGGCCUGUGAGGGUUGCUGGAGGUAUCAGAAGUGCGAAUGCUGACAUAAGUAACGAUAAAGCGGGUGAAAAGCCCGCUCGCCGGAAGACCAAGGGUUCCUGUCCAACGUUAAUCGGGGCAGGGUGAGUCGACCCCUAAGGCGAGGCCGAAAGGCGUAGUCGAUGGGAAACGGGUUAAUAUUCCCGUACUUGGUGUUACUGCGAAGGGGGGACGGAGAAGGCUAUGUUGGCCGGGCGACGGUUGUCCCGGUUUAAGCGUGUAGGUGUGUGUUCCAGGUAAAUCCGGUUCACUUUAACACUGAGGCGUGAUGACGAGGCACUACGGUGCUGAAGCAACAAAUGCCCUGCUUCCAGGAAAAGCCUCUAAGCAUCAGGUAACAUCAAAUCGUACCCCAAACCGACACAGGUGGUCAGGUAGAGAAUACCAAGGCGCUUGAGAGAACUCGGGUGAAGGAACUAGGCAAAAUGGUGCCGUAACUUCGGGAGAAGGCACGCUGACACGUAGGUGAAGUGAUUUACUCAUGGAGCUGAAGUCAGUCGAAGAUACCAGCUGGCUGCAACUGUUUAUUAAAAACACAGCACUGUGCAAACACGAAAGUGGACGUAUACGGUGUGACGCCUGCCCGGUGCCGGAAGGUUAAUUGAUGGGGUCAGCGCAAGCGAAGCUCCUGAUCGAAGCCCCGGUAAACGGCGGCCGUAACUAUAACGGUCCUAAGGUAGCGAAAUUCCUUGUCGGGUAAGUUCCGACCUGCACGAAUGGCGUAAUGAUGGCCAGGCUGUCUCCACCCGAGACUCAGUGAAAUUGAACUCGCUGUGAAGAUGCAGUGUACCCGCGGCAAGACGGAAAGACCCCGUGAACCUUUACUAUAGCUUGACACUGAACAUUGAGCCUUGAUGUGUAGGAUAGGUGGGAGGCUUUGAAGUGUGGACGCCAGUCUGCAUGGAGCCGACCUUGAAAUACCACCCUUUAAUGUUUGAUGUUCUAACGUGGACCCGUGAUCCGGGUUGCGGACAGUGUCUGGUGGGUAGUUUGACUGGGGCGGUCUCCUCCUAAAGAGUAACGGAGGAGCACGAAGGUUGGCUAAUCCUGGUCGGACAUCAGGAGGUUAGUGCAAUGGCAUAAGCCAGCUUGACUGCGAGCGUGACGGCGCGAGCAGGUGCGAAAGCAGGUCAUAGUGAUCCGGUGGUUCUGAAUGGAAGGGCCAUCGCUCAACGGAUAAAAGGUACUCCGGGGAUAACAGGCUGAUACCGCCCAAGAGUUCAUAUCGACGGCGGUGUUUGGCACCUCGAUGUCGGCUCAUCACAUCCUGGGGCUGAAGUAGGUCCCAAGGGUAUGGCUGUUCGCCAUUUAAAGUGGUACGCGAGCUGGGUUUAGAACGUCGUGAGACAGUUCGGUCCCUAUCUGCCGUGGGCGCUGGAGAACUGAGGGGGGCUGCUCCUAGUACGAGAGGACCGGAGUGGACGCAUCACUGGUGUUCGGGUUGUCAUGCCAAUGGCACUGCCCGGUAGCUAAAUGCGGAAGAGAUAAGUGCUGAAAGCAUCUAAGCACGAAACUUGCCCCGA
rnacentral:rRNA from 1 species